UACAGAGGUCACAAGCGUUAUCCGGAUUUAUUGGGCGUAAAGCGUUUCGUAGGUGGGUUCAUAAGUUAUCCUUUAAAGACUACGGCUCAACCGGAGGAAGGGGGAUAAUACUGUGAGUCUUGAUUUUUGGCGGGGCAUCUGGAACUGAUGGUGUAGUAGUGAAAUACGUUGAUAUCAUCAGGAACUCCAAGGGCGAAGGCAGGAUGCUGGCCAAUUAAUGACACUGAGGAACGACAGCUAGGGGAGCGAAAGGG
rnacentral:rRNA from 1 species